rnacentral:rRNA from 1 species
GACGUAGGAGGCGAGCGUUAUCCGGAUUCACUGGGCGUAAAGCGCAUGUAGGCGGUUCGAUAAGUCCGCUGUUAAAGCCCCCGGCUCAACUGGGGGAGGUCAGUGGAGACUAUAGGACUUGAGGGCAACAGAGGCACGUGGAACUCCCGGUGUAGCGGUGGAAUGCGUAGAGAUCGGGAAGAACACCAGUGGCGAAGGCGACGUGCUGGGUUGCGACUGACGCUGAGAUGCGAAAGUGUGGGGAGCGAACAGG